rnacentral:lncRNA from 1 species
CCCCAUCCAGGCUCCAGUUGAUAGUGCCUCCCCUUGGCACAGAUUUGUCUCAAAGUAGCAGCCAUGCCCACUGCUUUUCCAAUUCCAGCUACCACGCACUGGCAUGUGGGGGGCCUGCCACCAGCCAGGCCAGCACUCUGGACAGGAACAGCCCCACCAAGCUCAGUAACAAGUCCCUUGACAGAGACACAGCAGGCUGGACCCCCUACAGCUAUGUGAACGUGUUAGACUCCCAUUUCCAGAUCAGUGCCCUGGAGGCCAGGUACCCGCCCGAGGACUUCUACAUUGAACUUAGACACCUCAGCCGCCCCGCUGAGCCACACUCACCAGAUAAGCCUUGGAUCCAGGAGAGGACAGACAGGACCAGAGCUGAGAGGUGCUUGUGGAAUGGAUAGACGUCAGAACACAUACAUUAUGGACAAAGGCUUCAAAGUUGCACCUGCUUAGCAAAUGCUUGUGGGUUUUUUAUAGAUGCCAACUAAAUGUCUUCGGAAAUGUAAAGCGUCAUUAUCCAACCAAUUAGU